UACGUAGGGGGCUAGCGUUGUCCGGAAUCAUUGGGCGUAAAGAGCGUGUAGGCGGUCCGGUAAGUCCGCUGUGAAAGUCGGGGGCUCAACCCUCGAAUGCCGGUGGAUACUGUCGGGCUAGAGUGCGGAAGAGGCGAGUGGAAUUCCUGGUGUGAGCGGUGAAAUGCGCAGAGUAAUCAGGAGGAACACCUAUUGCGAAGGCAGCUCGCUGGGACGUAACUGACGCUGGAGACGCGAAAGCGUGGGGAGCAAACAGG
rnacentral:rRNA from 1 species